CCAGACUCCUACGGAGGCAGCAGUAGGGAAUCUUCCGCAAUGGGCGAAAGCUUGACGGAGCAACGCCGCGUGAGUGAUGAAGGUCUUCGGAUCGUAAAACUCUGUUAUUAGGGAAGAACAAAUGUGUAAGUAACUAUGCACGUCUUGACGGUACCUAAUCAGAAAGCCACGGCUAACUACGUGCCAGCAGCCGCGGUAAUACGUAGGUGGCAAGCGUUAUCCGGAAUUAUUGGGCGUAAAGCGCGCGUAGGCGGUUUUUUAAGUCUGAUGUGAAAGCCCACGGCUCAACCGUGGAGGGUCAUUGGAAACUGGAAAACUUGAGUGCAGAAGAGGAAAGUGGAAUUCCAUGUGUAGCGGUGAAAUGCGCAGAGAUAUGGAGGAACACCAGUGGCGAAGGCGACUUUCUGGUCUGUAACUGACGCUGAUGUGCGAAAGCGUGGGGAUCAAACAGGAUUAGAUACCCUGGUAGUCCACGCCGUAAACGAUGAGUGCUAAGUGUUAGGGGGUUUCCGCCCCUUAGUGCUGCAGCUAACGCAUUAAGCACUCCGCCUGGGGAGUACGACCGCAAGGUUGAAACUCAAAGGAAUUGACGGGGGCCCGCACAAGAAGGGCGAAUUCC
rnacentral:rRNA from 1 species